rnacentral:rRNA from 1 species
ACACUCCUGCGGGAGGCAGCAGUGGGGAAUAUUGGACAAUGGGCGCAAGCCUGAUCCAGCCAUGCCGCGUGAGUGAUGAAGGCCCUAGGGUUGUAAAGCUCUUUCACCGGUGAAGAUAAUGACGGUAACCGGAGAAGAAGCCCCGGCUAACUUCGUGCCAGCAGCCGCGGUAAUACGAAGGGGGCUAGCGUUGUUCGGAUUUACUGGGCGUAAAGCGCACGUAGGCGGACUAUUAAGUCAGGGGUGAAAUCCCGGGGCUCAACCCCGGAACUGCCUUUGAUACUGGUAGGCUUGAGUUCGAGAGAGGUGAGUGGAAUUCCGAGUGUAGAGGUGAAAUUCGUAGAUAUUCGGAGGAACACCAGUGGCGAAGGCGGCUCACUGGCUCGAUACUGACGCUGAGGUGCGAAAGCGUGGGGAGCAAACAGGAUUAGAAACCCUAGUAGUCCCA